rnacentral:rRNA from 1 species
GAUGAACGCUAGCUACAGGCUUAACACAUGCAAGUCGAGGGGAAACGACAUCGAAAGCUUGCUUUUGAUGGGCGUCGACCGGCGCACGGGUGAGUAACGCGUAUCCAACCUGCCCAUCACUUGGGAAUAACCUUGCGAAAGUAAGACUAAUACCCAAUGAUAUCCCACGAAGGCAUCGGAAUGGGAUUAAAGAUUUAUCGGUGAUGGAUGGGGAUGCGUCUGAUUAGCUUGUUGGCGGGGUAACGGCCCACCAAGGCAACGAUCAGUAGGGGUUCUGAGAGGAAGGUACCCCACAUUGGAACUGAGACACGGACCAAACUCCUACGGGAGGCAGCAGUGAGGAAUAUUGGUCAAUGGGCGAGAGCCUGAAACAGCCAAGUAGCGUGCAGGAAGACGGCCCUAUGGGUUGUAAACUGCUUUUAUAAGGGAAUAAAGUGGGUAACGUGUGACUAUUUGAAUGUACCUUAUGAAUAAGGACCGGCUAAUUCCGUG